GACGAACGCUGGCGGCGUGCUUAACACAUGCAAGUCGAACGGUAAGGCCCUUCGGGGUACACGAGUGGCGAACGGGUGAGUAACACGUGGGUGAUCUGCCCUGCACUUCGGGAUAAGCCUGGGAAACUGGGUCUAAUACCGGAUAGGACCACUGCCUGCAUGGGCGGUGGUGGAAAGCUUUUGCGGUGUGGGAUGGGCCCGCGGCCUAUCAGCUUGUUGGUGGGGUGAUGGCCUACCAAGGCGACGACGGGAAGCCGGCCUGAGAGGGUGACCGGCCACACUGGGACUGAGAUACGGCCCAGACUCCUACGUGAGGCAGCAGUUGGGAAUAUUGCACAAUGGGCGCAAGCCUGAUGCAGCGACGCCGCGUGAGGGAUGACGGCCUUCGGGUUGUAAACCUCUUUCAGCACCGACGAAGCGCAAGUGACGGUAGGUGCAGAAGAAGGACCGGCCAACUACGUGCCAGCAGCCGCCGUAA
rnacentral:rRNA from 1 species